CCAAACGUAACCAAAAUGUUGAUGUCAAACUUUUAAUACACGAGAAAAAAAUCUAAUACUAAGAGGUGAAAUUAAAGACAACAAAAGUUGAAAAUGUUUGUGUGGAGAUGCUGAGAUGGAUCUGACAUAGCUUCCACUUCAAACCAGAGAGGAGCAUGGACUGAAGAGGAGUGGAGAGGAGCCAUGACGAUGGAAGAUCAGAGAGAAAAUUGAACUGUGGAUGAGCAGAGAGGAGACUGGACUGUGACCGCUAAAGAGACAGCCGGAGAUGAGCCUGGGCUACCACUGGAGAGGAGGAGACCACCAAGGAGAUGACCGGACAGAAGACCACACCUUACACAACGGGAGCAUAAGGAGGUGAUGGAGAUCGCAGAGGAGAUAUAAUAGAUGAAGAGAUUAACAGAUCUGGAGAAGAAAUAAGAGAUAG
rnacentral:lncRNA from 1 species